rnacentral:misc_RNA from 1 species
AACUUUUGGCAAUGGAUCACUUGGCUCUCGCAUCGAUGAAGGACGCAGCGAAAUGCGAUACGUAAUGUGAAUUGCAGAAUUCAGUGAAUCAUCGAAUCUUUGAACGCACCUUGCGCCCCUUGGUUAUUCCUUGGGGCAUGCCUGUUUGAGUAUCAUGAACACCUCAACUCUCACGGUCUUCCGUGACGAGCUUGGACUUUGGGGGUUUGCUGGCCCUGCGGCCGGCUCCUCUCAAACAAAUCAGCUUGCCAGUGUUUGGCGGCAUCUCACGGGUGUGAUAACUAUCUACGCUCGCGGUUGUCUGCCAGGUAACCCUCAGCAAUGAAGGUUCAUUGGGGCUCAUAAACGUCUCUCCUCGGCGAGGACAGCUUUUGAACGUUCGAUCUCAAAUCAGGUAGGACUACCCGCUGAACUUAAGCAUAUCAAUAAGCGGAGGCU